rnacentral:rRNA from 1 species
ACACAUGCAAGUCGAGCGGUAAGGCCUUUCGGGGUACACGAGCGGCGAACGGGUGAGUAACACGUGGGUGAUCUGCCCUGCACUUCGGGAUAAGCCUGGGAAACUGGGUCUAAUACCGGAUAUGACCUCCUAUCGCAUGGUGGGUGGUGGAAAGAUUUAUCGGUGCAGGAUGGGCCCGCGGCCUAUCAGCUUGUUGGUGGGGUAAUGGCCUACCAAGGCGACGACGGGUAGCCGACCUGAGAGGGUGACCGGCCACACUGGGACUGAGACACGGCCCAGACUCCUACGGGAGGCAGCAGUGGGGAAUAUUGCACAAUGGGCGAAAGCCUGAUGCAGCGACGCCGCGUGAGGGAUGACGGCCUUCGGGUUGUAAACCUCUUUCAGCAGGGACGAAGCGCAAGUGACGGUACCUGCAGAAGAAGCACCGGCUAACUACGUGCCAGCAGCCGCGGUAAUACGUAGGGUGCAAGCGUUGUCCGGAAUUACUGGGCGUAAAGAGUUCGUAGGCGGUUUGUCGCGUCGUUUGUGAAAACCAGCAGCUCAACUGCUGGCUUGCAGGCGAUACGGGCAGACUUGAGUACUGCAGGGGAGACUGGAAUUCCUGGUGUAGCGGUGAAAUGCGCAGAUAUCAGGAGGAACACCGGUGGCGAAGGCGGGUCUCUGGGCAGUAACUGACGCUGAGGAACGAAAGCGUGGGUAGCGAACAGGAUUAGAUACCCUGGUAGUCCACGCCGUAAACGGUGGGCGCUAGGUGUGGGUUCCUUCCACGGAAUCCGUGCCGUAGCUAACGCAUUAAGCGC